ensembl:lncRNA
GAGGCUUCUGUCUCCGGGAUCGGAGCCUGCCGAGGUGGCGGCUCUACGACCCUGGGGAGAGCUGGUGGAUGAGCAGUGGCUGCUGCAGGACUUCACCUAGCCCUGGAUUGGGCAUUAAGGUGGCCUCCGGUCCUGGUGGAGCAUUGGGAGGCAGAAGCAUCAUUAUCCAGUAUGGGGGAGGAGUCAGGUCAUCCCCGUCCAAAUCCUGUAGAAUUUCCUUUUUUAUCAACAGUCACUUUUUGUGCCAUUAAUAUUUUUCCCUUUCCCUUCUGGAUACAGAACCUUGUCCAAGUAGGAGGGUCUUGAGCUAACCCUAGCCAUGAGUCCAUAUAUGGAUAUUGAUCCAGGUGUCCCGGCUCUCCUACUGUAUAGACUGCUUCCACUAUUUGUAAGCUCAUGGUGUUUUCUGGUGGCCAUCCUACUCCCAUAGGGGCCAUUCGACCUCACAGAGUGUGUGGAGGCGGUUAGGCUUCAUCUUCACCCCAUAGUCUCCUCUGAAUCCCUUCUUAAAAUUUUUAAUCAUGCACUCCAAUACAGUUGCCUUAGAUUAACUUCCUCCCAUCUCGCUUACCUUCUCGGACCUUCUUCUACUUUUCCUUUUCGUUCUGUCUACGAAGUUCUCAGUACCCUAUGUACUUCUGAUAUUUCCACUCAAUGACACUUAAAUUGCCAUUCUGCCUCCUUCCUAACUGGGAUGAGAAGAGCCUUACCUGACAGAUCCCAGAGGGAGAAGGGGGAUGGGCGUGCGUUCACCUGCCGGUCAGCACAGCCAAACCAGAAACCACAUGGUCCAAGACUGUUUCUCCCUUAAAGUCCGUUCUGCCUUGGUGGGCUUGAUCAGGUGCGGAUGAAAACACAGAUGGGUUAAAUAUCCCAUGUCCCAGGCCAUCUCUGGGAAAGCCAAUUCAUACUCACUUAUGUAUCCCCUUCCUUCUAGCCCACCAAUUCCGAGGGAGUCAAGAAUUUCACAGCAGACGGGACACCUCCUGGGGGAGGGCAGAAUACGAGCA